rnacentral:rRNA from 1 species
UACGUAGGUGGCAAGCGUUGUCCGGAUUUACUGGGCGUAAAGAGCGCGCAGGCGGCCAAGUCAGUCGAAUGUGAAAGCCCCCGGCUCAACUGGGGAGGGUCAUUCGAUACUGCUCGGCUCGAAGACAGGAGAGGGAAGUGGAAUUCCCGGUGUAGUGGUGAAAUGCGUAGAUAUCGGGAGGAACACCAGUGGCGAAGGCGGCUUCCUGGCCUGUUCUUGACGCUGAGGCGCGAAAGCUAGGGUAGCAAACGGG